GCUGGGUGUGGUGGUGUGCGCCUGUAAUCCCAGCUACUCAGGAGGCUGAGGCAGAAGAAUCACUUGAACCCAGGGGGCGGAGAUUGCAGUGAGCCAAGGUUGGGCCAUUGCACUCCAGCCUGGGUGACAGAGUGAGACUCCGUCUCCA
ensembl:misc_RNA Metazoa_SRP Metazoan signal recognition particle RNA